GAUGAACGCUGGCGGCGUGCCUAAUACAUGCAAGUCGAGCGAACGGACGAGAAGCUUGCUUCUCUGAUGUUAGCGGCGGACGGGUGAGUAACACGUGGAUAACCUACCUAUAAGACUGGGAUAACUUCGGGAAACCGGAGCUAAUACCGGAUAAUAUUUUUAACCGCAUGGUUCAAUAGUGAAAGACGGUUUUGCUGUCACUUAUAGAUGGAUCCGCGCUGCAUUAGCUAGUUGGUAAGGUAACGGCUUACCAAGGCAACGAUGCAUAGCCGACCUGAGAGGGUGAUCGGCCACACUGGAACUGAGACACGGUCCAGACUCCUACGGGAGGCAGCAGUAGGGAAUCUUCCGCAAUGGGCGAAAGCCUGACGGAGCAACGCCGCGUGAGUGAUGAAGGUCUUCGGAUCGUAAAACUCUGUUAUUAGGGAAGAACAAAUGCGUAAGUAACUGUGCACAUCUUGACGGUACCUAAUCAGAAAGCCACGGCUAACUACGUG
rnacentral:rRNA from 1 species